UACGUAGGGGGCAAGCGUUGUCCGGAUUUAUUGGGCGUAAAGAGCGUGUAGGCGGCCAUGCAGGUCAGCUGUGAAAACUCGAGGCUCAACCUCGAGACGUCGGUUGAAACCGUAUGGCUAGAGUCCGGAAGAGGAGAGUGGAAUUCCCGGUGUAGCGGUGAAAUGCGCAGAUAUCGGGAAGAACACCCGUGGCGAAGGCGGCUCUCUGGGACGGUACUGGACGCUGAGACGCGAAAGCGUGGGGAGCGAACAGG
rnacentral:rRNA from 1 species